rnacentral:lncRNA from 13 species
AUGAUGACUUGGCAACGAAUGCCUCUCCCUAAUGUCAAUAUGCCUUCUCCAUUGCUAUUCUGGUUAGUGAUUGUCUUAUUUCACUGUAGAGCCUCUAGCCCUGCUCAAUAUGCCUUAGCUAACCCUUCAGUUCCACCUUCCACACAUGCGGUGACAUCACUUGGUUUAAAUGAUGUUUCUCGAGACAAUAUCUCUCUCAUCGUCACUCUAUGCCUAGGUUUACCUCCACUGUAUUCACAUCCUACCAUACUUUUGUCUGUACAUUAUGCCUUGAAUCUAUUGUAUCGCGCCCAGAAACGUGCUCCUUUUACUCUCUGUACCGAACGUACCAGACGACCAGUUCUUAUAGCCUUUAGCCAUACCCUUAUCCUACUCCUCCUCUGUUCCUCUGGUGAUGUAGAGGUUAAUCCAGGCCCAGCAGUGCCUAGCUCCACUCCCAUUCCCCAGGCGCUCUCAUUUGUUGACUUCUGUAACUGUAAAAGCCUUGGUUUCAUGCAUGUUAACAUUAAAAGCCUCCUCCCCAAGUUUGUUUUAUUCACUGCCUUAGUACACUCUGCCAACCAGGAUGUCCUAGCCGUGUCUGAAUCCUGGCUUAGGAAGACCACCAAAAACCUUGAAAUUUCCAUCCCUAACUAUAACAUUUUCCGACAAGAUAGAAUUGCCAAAGGGGGCGGAGUGGCAAUCUACUGCAGAGAUAGCCUGCAGAGUUCUGUCAUACUAUUCAGGUCUGUGCCCAAACAAUUCGAGCUUCUACUUCUAAAAAUCCGCCUUUCCAGAAACAAGUCUCUCACCGUUGCCGCUUGCUAUAGACCACCUUCUUCCCCCAGCUGUGCCCCGGACACCAUAUGUGAAUUGAUUGCUCCCCAUCUAUCUUCAGAGCUCGUGCUGCUAGGUGACCUAAACUGGGACAUGCUUAACACCCCGGCCAUCCAACAAUCUAAGCUUGAUGCCCUCAAUCGCACACAAAGGAUCAAUGAACCUACCAGGUACAUCCCCAAAUCUGUAAACACGGGCACCCUCAUAGAUAUCAUCCUAAACAACUUGCCCUCCAAAUACACCACUGCUGUCUUCAACCAAGAUCUCAGCGAUCACUGCCUCAUUGCCUGCAUCCGUAAUGGGUCUGCGGUCAAAUGA